UACAGAGGCCUCGAGCGUUAGGCGGAAUCACUGGGCUUAAAGCGUGUGUAGGUGGAUGCCUAAGUACCUUGUGAAAUCCCCGCGGCUUAACCGUGGAACUGCUGGGUAUACUGGGCGUCUUGAGCCACUCAGGGGCUACCGGAACAAGCGGUGGAGCGGUGAAAUGCGUAGAUAUCGCUUGGAACGCCAAUGGUGAAAACAGGUAGCUGGGGGGUGUGCUGACACUGAGACACGAAAGCCAGGG
rnacentral:rRNA from 1 species